AGUGCGACAGACAGCCUCAGAGCUGGUGGGGAGACAGCGUGCCGCUGGAAAAAUUCAUAGACAUGGAAUUCCUGGAUCAAAUGGAGGAGAUGGAAGAUUGAGACAGAGAGGAGUGGGAGAAUGGGAAGAGGGCUUCGCGCCCAGUGCACAUUUGCCACCUAGUGACUAAACUGAAUGGUGUGCUUCUCACCUCAGCCUGGUAGCCUGACCUUGACUCCUGAGUUCUACGAUCGCUUCACAACUGCAAGUCAUUCUCAUACAAAAUUUAAGUUUUCCUAAGUCUGCGCCUUUGAGAGCUUUGGAAUGAUAUGCAAGUUCAAGUCACCAUCCUCUUUCUUGCUACCUCCUGUGAGAAGACCAGCAUUUGGGUUACUUGUUUCUACCCUUGUUCUUCUGCUUGAUAUUGUUGCUUCUGCAGCCAUUGAUCACACACGUGUUGUCAUACAAAAACUGGGUAGCCUUUUUAUUUGUCUUGUGAAUUUUAUCAUUUGGUUCUUAUGUAUUACAAAUUAAUAUUGUGUACUCUCAGUGAUAUAUGACUUUCAGUCAUUGUAAAUUUGCAUGAGUUAGGGUGAGAAUGGCAUGCAAGCAAAAGAACAAGAAGAGGGAUGAUAGAGAUGCAAGAAGAGUAAAGAGGGCAAGAAAGGUUAUGUUAAUAGCGAACACAAUGAAAGUUCUUUAAAUGCUUGAUAAUGGUGAAAGCAACACUUCCUAGGUCAUAUUUUUGGUGUUAAUGAACCUACACAUCAUACAAUAAGGAAAAAUGAGAAA